rnacentral:piRNA from 1 species
UCGAAGGACUUCGUGCAUUCUUU